rnacentral:siRNA from 1 species
GUGUGUGCGUUUAAUCCUGUAUUU